rnacentral:lncRNA from 1 species
GGAGUGCCAUUUGGGUUAAUCAAAGGAUAAUAAAUGGAAUAAGAUAACCCAAAUGUGUAUGAAAUCCAUGAUCAAGUAUGCAAGUGCCCAUAUGCAAGAGAGAUUAAAUUCAUUAUGCCCAAGUUCAGUUUGUAAUUGGUUUCAAGAACAAUGUCAAUAUCAUAUGAGCAACAUGUUUCAAAAAGAGUUUUCAAGGCUCGAGAGAUGCUUGUAGAUAUGUUCUUUUCAUGGCAAUUUCAAUCAUGGCUCCC